rnacentral:siRNA from 1 species
UUCAGGAAUCAGGUGGAUCA